rnacentral:lncRNA from 1 species
UAUACAUGCAGCACAAUGAAGGAGGGCAUGUACCUCUGAUAAAGGUGUAAUCUUGUUAUGGCUUUCACUCCUGAGAAACAGUUCUUUAUCUCCAGGGUGACCGAGGUUUCCCAGGAAGUCCAGGAAUUCCAGGAUUUGAAGGACGACCGGGUACUCCAGGACCACCUGGACAGAAGGGUGAACCUGGAGAACUGAUUCCUGACCCUGUUUAUGGAAAUAAAGGAACAGUGGGGUAUCCGGGAUCACCGGGACUUCCGGGAGCUCCAGGGCCACCCGGCUUCCAGGGUCCAAGUGGACCUCAAGGACCGAGAGGUUAUCCGGUAAGAGGGUUGCAGCAAGUUUAUCUCUGAUAUUUUGAUCAUGCAAACUUCAUGCUCUGUUGGUUCUGUGUUUCCAGGGUCAGCCCGGGUCACCUGGUCCUCCUG